CUGACCUUAAUGCUACUGAGGAAUUCCCUGCCAGGGGCCUUAGCCCGGCUGAUGUAAAGGCUGACGGCAUGGCCCGCCUUCCCUCUGCCAGUGGGGAAGAGACUAAGAAGAACAGGAAGUGGCGCUUCCUACCCAAAAUUGGCAAGAUUCCAAAGAUCAGGAUGAAGGUAGGGGGCUCUGUGUUUUGAGAUUACCUCUGUAAGGCAGGUUCUGAAAUGUACCCUACAGAUUCACUAAACCCCUAUUGUCUCAGCAUUAGAACAAUGCUGUUGUCAUUGUCUUUAGGAGGUUGAGUGAGGCCGCUGUAAUACAAUCCUAAUACACAUGGGAGAGAGUCAAUGUCUGUGUACCCUAUUCCUUAUAUGGUGCACUACUUUUGACCAGAGCACUAUAGUGCCUUACGUAGCCAGUAGGGCGCAUUUUGGGAUAGAUACCAUAUAUUUUACACAGGCUCAGUUGUCCUGAUGUGUUUUGUCAACAGCUGUUCAAGACAAAAGGGGAACCGAAGAGCCACCCUGAACAGGAUGCGCUGCCUACCAAACGUCUCAGAGAGACUCGUAUUUCACAGAAUGCUGAGUGUGAGGUUCCAGAGGUUCCAUCCACUUCCCCACCCAAGGAGGACCUGACAAGCACACUGGCCCCUGCUCCCCAGGAGUCCCAGUCCCGUAAACGCCCUCUCAUAGUCAGGGUUGUUGCAUCCCCACACCUACCAGUAAAGCACCACAGGACAAUGAGAAGCGGACACCGUUGCAUGCCGCUACCUAUCUAGGAGAUACAGAAAUUCUAGAGCUACUCAUACUAUCAGGUAAGGUUAUCAUUGAAGAGAAGGAUUACGCAAUGAUUCAUGUCCAUCGGACUUUGACUUCUGUUUUGAUGCUUGUUGUGUUUGCAUGUGACCGUUUCCCUCAUACUUACCACCAUUAAGAUCUUAUGUGCAGCCGAUGUAUUUAAAAAUGUAAAAAAAACAUUCUAAUGAAGGCCAUUGACAGCUGAAACGUCCCGAUUUUAACUUGAUUAGUGA
rnacentral:lncRNA from 1 species